UUUAAUUGUUUAUUGAAUUUUAUUUUUAAGUUAAAAAGCUUAAAUAAUUAUAAAAGACGAGAAGACCCUAUAGAGUUUAAUAUUUCAAUUUUAUUUAUUUAUAGAAUUAAAUUUGAAUUUUGAGUAUUUAGUUGGGGUGAUUUAAAGAUUUAAUAAAUUCUUUAAUUUUUUAAUUGAUGAUAGUUAAAUUAUAAAUCUAUAGUUUUAAAUUUAAUAUAAAUUACCUUAGGGAUAACAGCGUAAUUUUUCUUUAAAGUUCUUAUUAAAAGAAGAUUUUGCGACCUCGAUGUUGGAUUAAAAUUAAUUUUUGGUGCAGUAACUUAAUAAUUAGGUCUGUUCGACCUUUAAAAUUUUACAUGAUCUGAGUUUAAACCGGUGUAAGCCAGGUUGGAUUCUAUCUUUAGAAAAAUUUUAUAUUUUAGUACGAAAGGACCAGGUAUAGAUUAUAUUAAUUG
rnacentral:rRNA from 1 species